CUACAGGGUAGUAUCUAGGGAAGAAGCAGCUAGGAAGCUACAGGGUAGUAUCUAGGGAAGAAGCAGGUAGGAAGCUACAGGGUAGUAUCUAGGGAAGAAGCAGGUAGGAAGCUACAGGGUAGUAUCUAGGGAAGAAGCAGGUAGGAAGCUACAGGGUAGUAUCUAGGGAAGAAGCAGCUAGGAAGCUACAGGGUAGUAUCUAGGGAAGAAGCAGGU